GGUCUUUCACCUGUUACCUUUCAACCCUCAGUUGUGAAAGGCAAAAUGGCAACGUCCAUACCAGGCGUUGGAAGGAUUUUAUGCCCUUCCAAAGAGCUUACCUGUCAGGCUUUGGACCCAGGCUGUGUUUCCAAGUGUGAAGUCCAGCCUCUCUCUGUGCACUGCAGCCUAACCUGAAAUCCUCAGUGACGCUGCUGUGGCAAGGACAGACCAUGGGGCUACCUGGAGAGCAAAGAGUACAUAGAGCGCUAUGGACAAGUCCAGUGUGGUCUGACUAAAGAGGAACCAGAAAGGAGGGAUUCCCCCUCAGAAGACACGCAAGACCUGCAUUAGGAGACAGGAUAUGUGGGAACCCUUGUCCAAUUUGUUGAGACACCAUCAUCCAAUAUCAGAAUGUGAAGCUGCUGCAAAAGUUUAUAAGCCCAUAUACAGGCGUUGUGUAUGACCCCACAUGGACAGGAGUGUCAGAAACAGAAAAAGUAACUCAAUCAGGCGAUUGGCACUGCAAGAGACCAGAGGCUACUACCCGUCCAGGUUCCUCAUGUGGACUUCUCAGGGGAGGACUAUUCCAACCCCCAUGACGCAGUUGGCUCGGCCCCUCCUCCCCCACCAUGACCCCUUGGUACAGGUGGUACCACACCAUACAGCCAGACGAGACUGAAGUGGCUCAAGUCAAGAAGACCAACGAGGCCUAUUUGACAUAGACUAGGGCCUUAGAGGAAUCAUGGUGAAAUUAUUCUUUGUGAUUUAAUUUGGACUUUCUGGAAGUAGUAGAGCACUGGUAGAUCAUUGUACCAUCUAAACUGCAUUGUGAAAUCUUUUCCAUAACCAAAGAUAUUGUAUUUUCAGAUGGUGUACAAAACCAAGAUGCUAAAAGUAAACUUAAGCAUAGAAAUAGCGCACAGAACGUAUUACUGCUUCUUGGACUUGCUUUCAGCGAGUGAAGAUUCACAUUUCUGUGAAUUUGGUCAGGUCACACUAAAAGUUACAUAUUGCAGCUUUAAAACAAGUUAUAAAAUAUUCUUUUCAUGGCAAUAUCGCUUUUAUUGCUUUUGGGAGAGUUUUGCUAAAACAUGUCACAGAUCACUGAUUCAUUCCAGCCACUUAUCCUCACAGGCUACAACUUAAUCUAAUUGUAUUUGUCACAUACUUUGUAAACAACCAGUGUAGGCUAACAGUGAAAUGCUUACAUCUACUUUGUGCAUGACAAGUAAUUUUUCAACAAUUGUUUACAGACAAGAUUAUUUCACUAUCACAAUUCCAGUGGGUCAGAAGUUUACAUACACUAAGUUGACUGUGCCUUUAAACAGCUUGGAAAAUUCCAGAAAAUGGUGUCAUGGCUUUAGAAGUUUCUGAGAGGCUAAUUGACAUAAUUUGAGUCAAUUGGAGGUGUACCUGUGGAUGUAUUUCAAGGCCUACCUUCAAACGCAGUGCCUCUUUGCUUGACGUCAUGGGAAAAUCAAAAGAAAUCAGCCAAAAAAAUGUAAACCUCCACAAGUCUGGUUCAUCCUUGGGAGCAAGUAUAUACACCAUGGGACCACGCAGCCAUCAUACCGCUCAGGAAGGAGAUGUGUUCUGUCUCCUAGAGAUGAAUGUACUUUGGUGCGAAAAGUACAAAUAAAUCCCAGAACAGCAGCAAAGGACAUUGUGAAGAUGCUGGAGGAAACAGGUACAAAGUAUCUAUAUCCACAGUAAAACGAGUCCUAUAUCAACAUAACCUGAAAGGCCUCUCAGCAAGGAAGAAGCCACUGCUCAAAAACCGCCAUAAAAAAGCCAGACUACGGUUUGCAACUGCACAUGGGGACAAAGAUCGUACUUUUUGGAGAAAUGUCCUCUGGUCUGAUGAAACAAAAAUAGAACUGUUUAGCCAUAAUGACCAUGUUUGGAGGAAAAAGGGGGAUGCUUGCAAGACAAAGAACACCAUCCCAACCGUGAAGCACGGGGGUGGUAGCAUCAUGUUUGGGGGUGCUUUGCUGCAGGAGGGACUGGUGCAAUUCACAAAAUAGAUGUCAUGAGGAAGAAUGUGGAAAUAUUGAAGCAACAUCAAGAUGUCAGUCAGGAAGUUAAAGCUUGGUCGCAAAUGGGUCUUCCAAAUGGACAAUGACCCCAAGCAUACUUCCAAAGUUGUGGCAAAAUGGCUUAAGGACAACAAGGUCAAGGUAUUGGAGUGGCCAACACAAAGCCCUGACCUCAAUCCUAUAGAACAUUUGUGGGCAGAACUGAAAAAGCGUGUGUGAGCAAGGAGGCCUACAAAUCUGACUGUUACACCAGCUCUGCCAGGAGGAAUGGGCCAAAAUUCAACCACCUUAUUGUAGGAAGCUUGUGGAAGGCUACCUGAAAUGUUUGACCUAAGUUAAACAAUUUAAAGGCAAUGCUACCAAAUACUAAUUGAGUGUAUGUAAACUUCUAACCCACUGGGAAUGUGAUGAAAUAAAUAAAUCAUUCUCUACUAUUAUUCUGACAUUUCACAUUCUUAAAAUAAAGUGGUGAUCCUAACUGACCUAAGACAGGGAAUUGUUACUAGUAUUAAAUGUCAGGAAUUGUGAAACUGAGUUUAAAUGUAUUUGGCCAAGGUGUUGUACAAUAAAGACAUUGUAAGAUGCAAAAUCCA